rnacentral:rRNA from 1 species
GAUGGAGGAUGCAAGCGUUAUCCGGAAUGAUUGGGCGUAAAGCGUCCGCAGGUGGCAGUUCAAGUCUGCUGUCAAAGACCGGGGCUUAACUUCGGAAAGGCAGUGGAAACUGAACAGCUAGAGUAUGGUAGGGGCAGAGGGAAUUCCUGGUGUAGCGGUGAAAUGCGUAGAGAUUGGGAAGAACAUCCGUGGCGAAAGCGCUCUGCUGGACUGCAACUGACAUUGAGGGACGAAAGCUAGGGGAGCGAAUGGG